CCUACGGGCGGCAGCAGUGAGGAAUAUUGGUCAAUGGCCGAGAGUCUGAACCAGCCAAGUAGCGUGAGGGAUGACUGCCCUAUGGGUUGUAAACUUCUUUUGUCGAGGAGUAAAACGAGGCACGUGUGCCUUUUUGCAUGUACUUUAUGAAUAAGCAUCGGCUAACUCCGUGCCAGCAGCCGCGGUAAUACGGAGGAUCCGAGCGUUAUCCGGAUUUAUUGGGUUUAAAGGGAGCGUAGAUGGGUUGUUAAGUCAGUUGUGAAAGGUUGCGGCUCAACCGCAAAAUUGCAGUUGAUACUGGCAGUCUUGAGUACAGGUGAGGUAGGCGGAAUUCGCGGUGUAGCGGUGAAAUGCUUAGAUAUCACGAAGAACCCCGAUUGCGAAGGCAGCAUAC
rnacentral:rRNA from 1 species